UAUUCACAUAAUGAAAACCUAUACUUUGUCUCGGGCGAGUUUCCCAUUCAAAUGCAUGUAACAGUGAGAAACACACUGUCUUGGCGAAAGAAAGCAUUUUUGUACAACUUCAUAUAAAUCGCUGUAACUUUUGAUAGAAGACUCAGAAACACAUGUUUAUGGCUUUAUCUUAUAGAACUCAAUAUCCCCGUGCUGGGCAAACAGGUUUUGCAGCCGUUUGAGCUAAGAUUUUAAAAUUAUUCACAUAAUGAAAACCUAUACUUUGUCUCGGGCGAGUUUCCCAUUCAAAUGCAUGUAACAGUGAGAAACACACUGUCUUGGCGAAAUAAAGCGUUUUUGCACAACUUUAUAUAAAUCGGUGCAACUUUUGAUAGACGACUCAGAAACACAUGUCUAUGGCUUCAUCUUAAAGAAUUCAAUAUCCUCGUGCUGGGCAAACAGGUUUUGCAGCCGUUUGAGCUAAGAUUUUAAAAUUAUUCACAUAAUGAAAACCUAUACUUUGUCUCGGGCGAGUUUCCCAUUCA
ensembl:lncRNA